rnacentral:rRNA from 1 species
AACAAACGCUGGCGGCGUGCCUAACACAUGCAAGUCGAGCGGAGUCGAUCGACGGAAGCCUUCGGGCGGAAGAUGGUUGACUUAGCGGCGGAUGGGGUGAGUAACGCGUGGGGCAACCUGCCUCGAAGACCGGGAUAACAGCCCGAAAGGGCUGCUAAUACCGGAUGUGGUCAAGGAUCCGCAUGGAUUUUUGAUUAAAGGGGAAACCCGUUUCGAGAUGGGCCCGCGUCCUAUCAGCUAGUUGGUGAGGUAAAAGCUCACCAAGGCGACGACGGGUAGCCGGACCUGAGAGGGUGACCGGCCACACUGGAACUGAGACACGGUCCAGACUCCUACGGGGGGCAGCAGUGGGGAAUCUUCCACAAUGGGCGAAAGCCUGAUGGGAGCGACGCCGCGUGAGCGAAGAAGGCCUUCGGGUUGUAAAGCUCUGUCUGGAGGGACGAAGGAAGUGACGGUACCUCGGACGGAAGCCACGGCAACUACGUAG